CCCGGCCUAGGAACGGCUUGGGAAUGGCCUGGGAUCAGCCUGAGCAUGGCCUGGGGACAGCCCGGUCCGGGGACAGCCCAUCCUGGGCACAACCUCGGGACGCUUGGCCUGGGGACGGCUUGGGGACAGCCUGGGGACAGCCUGGGCACGGCCUCGGGACUCCUGGCCUGGGGACAGCCUGGUGAUGGCCUGGAGACAGCCUGGGAUGGCGCAGCCUGGGGACAGCUCGGCCUGGGGACGGCCUGAAGACAGCCUAGGACAGCCCUGUCUGGGAUCAGCCUGGGGACGGCCUGGGGACGGCCUGAGGACAGACCGGCCUGGGGACAGCCCAUCCUGGGCACGGCCUCGGGACUCCUGGCCUGGGGACGGCUUGGGGACAGCCUGGGACAGUCUGGUGAUGGCCUGGGGACAGCCUGGGACAGCGCGGCCUCGGAUCAGCCUGGGAUCAGCCUGGUGACAGCCUGGGCCGGGCUUGGGGACAGCCCGGCCGGGGACACACACGAGCGGCUGCGCCUGGGGCGGGGCGCCGGGCUCCCGCGGCC
rnacentral:lncRNA from 1 species